GAGGGAGGCGCCACUGAAAUACCCGACAGCAGCUUCCCCUGCAUUCCCAAUUCCAUUCUUGAAACUUCGUUCCUGUCGUUCAUGCCCCUACGCUGCACCUGUUUCUCUACUGCUAUUAUUUGGAGUACCGGCGUUGAUGCUAUUAUGAAUCUGUUAGAGUUGCUAUUGGGCUGUGAUUGCUCUUAAUUUCCAUCCAAUUUGAAUCCUUUGUUUGGUUACAACCCCGGUCACUGCCGUGAAGAUUAACAAUGCUGCUGUUCUGGUUGCUGCCUUUGCCAUUCCGGUUGUGUGA